AUUGAACGCUGGCGGCAUGCCUUACACAUGCAAGUCGAACGGCAGCACGGGUGCUUGCACCUGGUGGCGAGUGGCGAACGGGUGAGUAAUGCAUCGGAACGUACCCUGGAGUGGGGGAUAACUAUCCGAAAGGAUAGCUAAUACCGCAUAUUCUAUGAGUAGGAAAGCGGGGGAUCUUCGGACCUCGCGCUCUGGGAGCGGCCGAUGUCAGAUUAGCUAGUUGGUGGGGUAAAGGCCUACCAAGGCUACGAUCUGUAGCGGGUCUGAGAGGAUGAUCCGCCACACGGGGACUGAGACACGGCCCAGACUCCUACGAGAGGCAGCAGUGGGGAAUUUUGGACAAUGGGGGCAACCCUGAUCCAGCCAUGCCGCGUGAGUGAAGAAGGCCUUCGGGUUGUAAAGCUCUUUCGGCCGGGAAGAAAUCGCCAUUUCUAAUAUAGGUGGUGGAUGACGGUACCGGAAUAAGAAGCACCGGCUAACUACGUGCCAGCAGCCGCCGUAAAAC
rnacentral:rRNA from 1 species